rnacentral:lncRNA from 1 species
GUGAUGUGUUUCUCCUUCACAUCAGUGUACUAAGUCUGCUGUAGUUUUUAGGCACAUUUAAAUUGUGCAAAAUUGUAUCCUUGAAAAACACGCAGAGAUCUUCUCCAUUUAUUGUUUUAUUGUUUUCAUGAAGGUUUAUCGUAUCUCCAUAUAUCCAACAUUCAAAUAUCUUUCAGGAAGGGAAUGCUGGAGCCUGGCUGAGACUCUGGAGGUCUCUGCAGUGGUUUUGCACAAGUUGUCUAGAAAAAGGACAAAGUCUCCUGGUUGAGAAUUCGUGGCAUGAAGGUCUGAGCAAGAGGAACUGUACUUUCCUUUGCAUCACUGGCAUUUCAGCCCAGAGCUCUCCCACAUCUCAUAAGCUGCUUUGAGCCCAUGCAGUACACAGAGUGGAAAAAAAAAAGAAUUGAAGAAGCAAAAAUAAAUAUUAAAGCACGUAAGAAUUAAAUAUCACCUAUUCAAAUAGCAAUUAUGCCGUUGAAAACAAGAUCACCACACCUGUACAAGAAAAGACAACCAAGCCUAAAACAUCUGUUUGGAUCCACCUGCCAAGCACCUGUUCUGCUGUUUCAAUGCCAUUUGAUUGCUGGAGAUGUAGAGGCUCUUGUGAGGUUUCUUGCACAGUUGUUUGCUUUGUGCUGAUGGAAGAUGCUGCAGAGUCAGGUCUUUAUCCACAGACCAGUUUCCACACCGGGAACUGCGGGAUAAAUCAGCCCAUGCUCCUCAUCAUGGAGAAUUCAGCAGCUGCUUGGGAUCAUCUCCCAGAGAUGAAGGAGAUGUGGAAGUCAAACUGAGAGGCUGCAGCAUCCCCUCUGCCUCUUCCCAAGUGCUCAUCGUGAACCAAAGGCUUUCUGAAGACAUAAAAAAAGAAAAGUGCUGGUCAUGGAAGAACAGCAAAGGUUUCCUUUGUAACUAAGACACACUUGUUUGCAAUAACAUGUGUGCUUUUAAAUGCUGCCAAGUUGCUGAGGCUAUCUCUCCUAAAUGCAAUCUUUAAAUAUGUAAGUGUUAAAAAAAACAAGGUAAUGUUCAAGAAAUGUUAAAGUAAAAAAAAAUAAUAAAAAAAAAAGUUUGAUCA